rnacentral:tRNA from 1 species
GCCCAGGUGGCGGAACUGGAAUACGCGUACGGUUGAGGGCCGUAUGCCGCAAGGCUUGAGGGUUCGAAUCCCUCCCUGGGCACCA